GACGAACGCUGGCGGCGCGCUUAACACAUGCAAGUCGAGCGAGAACCUGGCUUCGGCCAGGGGAAAGCGGCGAACGGGUGAGUAUCACGUGAGUUAUCCACCCUCAGUACCGGGAUAGCCCGAGGAAACUCGGAUUAAUACCGGAUGGCCCAACAGUUCUUCGGGACGGUUGGAAAAGGUAGCUUCGGCCUCCGACUGGGGACGAGCUCGCGGCGGAUUAGCUUGUUGGUGGGGUAAUGGCCUACCAAGGCGACGAUCCGUAGCUGGUCUGAGAGGACGAUCAGCCACACUGGGACUGAGACACGGCCCAGACUCCUACGGGAGGCAGCAGUGGGGAAUCUUGCGCAAUGGGCGAAAGCCUGACGCAGCGACGCCGCGUGGGGAAGAAGG
rnacentral:rRNA from 1 species